GCAGACGUGAUGGAACGGCAGACAUGCAAGAUUGAGGGUCUUGUGAGCGUUAGCUCGUGUGGGUUCAAAUCCCAUCGUCUGCAUCA
rnacentral:tRNA from 1 species